rnacentral:rRNA from 1 species
CUACGUAGGGUGCGAGCGUUGUCCGGAAUUACAGGGCGUAAAGAGCUCGUAGGUGGUUUGUCGCGUCGUCUGUGAAAUUCCGGGGCUUAACUCCGGGCGUGCAGGCGAUACGAGCAUAACUUGAGUACUGUAGGGGAGACUGGAAUUCCUGGUGUAGCGGUGAAAUGCGCAGAUAUCAGGAGGAACACCGGGGGCGAAGGCGGCUCUCGGGUCAGAAACUGACGCUGAGGAGCGAAAGCAAGGGUAGCGAACAGGAUGAGAUACCGUGGGAGUCCAUGCCGUAAACGGUGGGCGCUAGGUGUAAGGGUCUUCCACGACUUCUGUGCCGUAGCUAACGCAUUAAGCGCCCCGCCUGGGGAGUACGGCCGCAAGGCUAAAACUCAAAUGAAUUGACGGGG